rnacentral:rRNA from 1 species
AUGCAUAUACAUUCACUCGCCAUUCACCACCAUCUCGCACGCGUCUUGGGAGCUUUGCUGGCUUCGGCGGUGGAGACGAAGAAAGAGAGAGUUGUUGCCAUGGCGACAACCGAGGUCAGCAUCCAGAUGGCGGGGGUACUGGACGGCCAGCCGGGGUGUGCUCCGUCCCCCGAACCGCUUCUCCUGCGUGUCCCGUCGCAGGCCGCCGGCGUUUCUUCGAUGGAGGCUGCGGAUGCCGUCGUUUCCGGCGGCAGGACCACCAAGAAAGCGGCCGCGGCUGCUUACGCUGAGACGCCGAGCUCUGUCUCGUUCAGCGUGCCGGGUUCCCCGUCGGGACUCCACCUCGCGCAGAUCGGCAUGCCGCCGUCCGUCCGCGACAACGUGGGCGCCCCUGCGGUGCCGCUGAGCGAGUCGAAGGUCGAGCGGGUUCACCACCCGGCCGUGCCACCGAGCGUGUCGAUGGUCGAGCGGGUUCACCACCCGGCAGUGCCGCAGCUGCUGAAGCAGGCCCGGCACCACUCGCAGCCGUCCUUGGUUGUUAGAGUCGGCGGCGAGGUGCCGGCGGUGCUGCGGAGCGACAGCAUGCGGGAGCGAGACCGGCGGUUUGACCAAUUCAAGACGUUCUCUGGCCGCCUUGAACGACAGCUCUCCAGCCUCCGUGGGGUGCCACAGAACACCGACGUGGAAAAAGGUGCGGCAUCAAAGAUCUCAGAGGAGGACACCGACGAGGACGAUGAAGUGCCCACCGCCGACCGCUACUUCGCCGCGCUCGAAGGACCCGAGCUCGAGACACUUCGGUCGACAGAGGUGGCCGUGUUGCCUAAGGACGAGACAUGGCCGUUCCUGCUCCGAUUCCCCAUCAGCGCCUUUGGGAUGUGCCUUGGCGUGAGCAGCCAGGCCAUGCUCUGGAAGACCCUUGAGUCGGAGCCCUCCACCAAGUUUCUUCACGUGCACCCUGCUACCAACCACGUCCUCUGGUGGAUCUCCGUCGCCCUCAUGGUCGUCGUCUCCAUCACCUACCUUCUAAAAGUCGUUUUCUACUUCGAGGCCGUCCGCCGCGAGUUCCACCACCCCGUGCGCGUCAACUUCUUCUUUGCGCCAUGGAUUGCCUGCCUUUUUCUUGUCAAGGGUGUGCCGCAUCCGGUCUGGGAGAUCCACCACGCCGUCUGGUACUUGCUCAUGGCGCCCAUCCUGUGCCUCGACCUCAAGAUCUAUGGCCAAUGGAUGUCUAGUGGUGAGCGGCGCCUCUCUAAGGUAGCCAACCCAUCCAAUCACCUCGCGAUCGUCGGCAACUUUGUCGGCGCGCUUCUCGGUGCUAGGAUGGGCCUGCGGGAGCUGCCCAUCUUCUUCUUUGCCGUCGGGUUGGCCCACUAUGUCGUGCUAUUCGUCACUCUCUAUCAGCGGCUCCCCACGAACGCGCAACUCCCCAAGGAGCUCCACCCAGUGUUCUUCCUUUUCGUCGCCGCACCUAGCGUUGCUUCCAUGGCAUGGACGAGGAUCUGUGGAGAGUUCAACGAUGGUUCCAAGCUCCUUUACUUCGUCUCGCUAUUCCUCUACGUGUCUCUGGUGGUGCGCAUCAACAUCUUUAGGGGCUUCAAGUUCUCACUGGCAUGGUGGGCGUACACAUUCCCGAUGACGAGUGUGGCCUUGGCGACGGUGUUAUAUGCAUCUGAGGUAGACAACAUGCUGACACGGGCACUAGCGGUCGGGUUGUCAGGGAUUGCCGUUGUCACGGUCACCGGCGUGCUAGCCACCACCAUGUACCACGCCUUCGUGCGGAAGGACCUCUUCCCCAACGAUGUAUCCAUAGCCAUCACGCGACGAAGGCCCAAGUUUAGCAAGAUCCUCGCGCACCUUCGGUCGUCGAGCUCUGAUGUCAAGGAGCUAAUUCUCUCCAUCCCAAAUUUCAGUUCCAAUUCCAAGCAGGGCGCAUGCUGCGAUGACGCCGGCUCCAGCUACAAGACGAGCGGCAGUGUCGGCGAGUCUCCUGUGGCACACGAGCACGGAAGAGCAAAGUGUUAG